rnacentral:misc_RNA from 1 species
AUAAAAUUCUUAAACUUCAUAAUUUUACGAAAACUAUAAUUCCAAAAUUCCUAUACUUCAUCAUUCUUCCCUGAUUGGAGAAAACUCGACCUUGAGUCUUGUGACAGAAGAUUAAAAUACUGAAUUCAGAGAAUAAGCAACGCAACUUUUUUGGUUGCUGGCAAAAAGUUUGAAAUGAGGAACUCCUUUCCAUUGUUUUCUUAACUUGAUUUCCUUCAAUUUCUAUUUUAGGUCUACAAGGUCUCCAUCGCUUGAUUGGCUUCAUUAGCUUCUUGCUCUAGGAUCGGUUUCUCACAUGUUUCCAACUCAGUUUUAUCAAUUGUGGAUUUCAAUAUGUGCAAAACCAAAGCUGAAGGCGUAACAACCAAAGUUUCAGUUUUAAGGUCUCCAAGCGUAGACUAUUCAAACUUCUCUGUUUCACUUUUAGAUUUCAAGUUGCUCUUCAAAUUCUUUUUCUUGU